AAGUCAACAGAUAAAAUUACGCACAUUUCGAUCUGACUAUACGUGUCUUGCGAGGGCUGGCUUUAGUUAAUUUGGAACCAUCUACAAAACAUGUACAUGUGUGGGCUCAUUACCUCCGGUUUACAACCUGGUGAUACGGCUUCUGUCUGUAAUGCACUUAGUUCGAUCUGGAGCCAUUGGAUGGGCUGAUGGCAGCCAAGUGGACACAAGGUUGUUUGGCUCAUCUCAGUUGCGAAGAGGAAGAACUUUGCAGCUGUUUCUGAUUAAUAAACAAUGCCAUGCUGGAUUACAGUUUAGAAGAGCCACUGACCAUCAAGGGGCACAGGCUGGGUUGCAGAAAUGAUUGGACGGGAAGACCGACUGCAAGGAGAGGCUGACCGAGAUGAAGGCUAAAUUACAAGGACUGUCCUUGGAAGAAAGGGGAGAGGUGCUUGAGCUGGUCGCUUCCAGUCUACCUUGAGUGAUUUUUGAAUACCGGAGAGGUAUCUCAGGGUCUCCAGACAUCCCAGAGCAUGGACAACCUCGCUGGUGCACCUGCCUGAAUUGCAGGGGGACUCCUACACCUUACGACACAAAACUGCUGCCAUUUCACCGCUGCACUAUUCCGUAUAUUUAUUACCAAGUAUGUUUACAUAACAGUUGAACUUUCCACCACUACACUGUACUUUAUUCUUCAUUUGGAUCUCAAUUAUGAAAAAUAUUUCAUUUGGGGACAUCUUUGUAAAUAGUUUUUUUUGUGAUUAUUUUUCCCCCAGUCUGGGUGAUAUCAUUUCAGUACCUUACACCAGGGGUGUCAAACACAUUCCAUGGAGGGUUUAAUGUCUGCAGGUAUUGGGUUUUUCCUUUCAUUUAAGACAACCAGUUGAGGGAAGCUCUCUACUAAUUGGUGACCUUAAUUAAUCAAUCAAGUACAAGGGAGGAGUAAAAACCCACAUACACUCAGCCCUCCAUGGAAUGAGUUUGACACAUGCCUUACUGUGCUUUUUUUAAUUUGGAGAAAGUUACAGAAAUUACCUUGUAUUUUUGUUUAUCUCUCAAAUAAAACUUUAUUUGACCUUAUCUGUGUAAUCAGACCGACUUGUUUUGUACUGUAUUUACACCAGAGUAGUCCAUCCAUUUUUCUGGAUAUAUACCCAACUGUAGGUCUGCUAAUUUGUAGUGAAAAUUGUCAAUAGUAUACAUAUCCAGAAAAAGAUAACAGUUUAGUAAAUAAUUCCAAAACCAUUCCAAAAGUUAAAUAAUGAUGCCUAUAUGCUUGAUAAAGAAUGCACAAAUAUUGUUUCUCACACAAGUUUGUUGCCCACACAAACUUCCCUUAUUUACAUAUGAUUUAUAUGUUUGGUUGCAGGCCCACCACUUUCAACAACAUUUCUGAGUACUCUGUAGGUUUUCACACUUCCCGGGAAAUCUGACAAUAGGGAAAGCUCAGGUGUGCUAACUGCAUCUUGUGUUGCGUGGCGACUUCUCCUCAAAGUUGUAGCAGCUCAGCCAUUGUUGGUGGUGGCUCUUCAGGAGUCUUGGUUCAUCUGAUCUCAGGAUCAUUCUCCUUGGAAGCCCCAAGCGAGAGCCGUUCUUCUCAACAUUGCUUUCGUUCUGGGAUGGAUGUGUAGUCCUAUGCAGUUUUCAAUGCGUAGACACAGUCUCAUGUAGCUGAAAGAAAAUAUUUGGUGAGUAUUUUGUCUAUACAUUUACAGAACUGUAGUGUUGAUAUCUGUUGAAAAUAUAAC
rnacentral:lncRNA from 1 species